rnacentral:pre_miRNA from 1 species
AAAAAAAACAAACCUGUGUUUCCAUGUUCAACGUUUGACCGUCCGUCUUAUUUGAAAAAAAUAUGAAAAAAUUAAAAAGACAAGUCACGUAUAAAAUAUUAAACAUGUUUUAUCAUCUAACAACAAUGAAAAUACUAAUUAUAAAAAAAAUUUAUAUAAAACGAACAGUCAAACGUUGGACACGAAAACUCAGGGUUUGUCUUUUU